rnacentral:rRNA from 1 species
AAGUCGAGCGGCAGGGGGCAGCGAUGUUCCCGAGAGCGGCGGACUGGUGAGUAACGCGUGGGUGACCUGCCNUCUGGAUGGGGAUAGCCGUUAGAAAUAGCGGGUAAUACCGAAUAUGGUCGGGAGACCGUGGUUUUCCGAAGAAAGGAGCUCAGGCUCCGCCAGGGGAUGGGCCCGCGUCCCAUUAGCUAGUUGGUGAGGUAAGAGCCCACCAAGGCGAAGAUGGGUAGCCGGCCUGAGAGGGUGAACGGCCACACUGGGACUGAGAUACGGCCCAGACUCCUACGGGAGGCAGCAGCUAAGAAUAUUCCGCAAUGGACGGAAGUCUGACGGAGCGACGCCGCGUGGAUGAAGAAGGCCGAAAGGUUGUAAAGUCCUUUUGUUGCUGAAGAAUAAGGCGGGGAGGGAAUGCCCUGUCGAUGACGUUAGGCAAUGAAUAAGCCCCGGCUAAUUACGUGCCAGCAGCCGCGGUAACACGUAAGGGGCGAGCGUUGUUCGGAAUUAUUGGGCGUAAAGGGCGCGUAGGCGGUUACGCAAGCCCGGCGUGAAAUCUCCCGGCUUAACCGGGAGUGUGCGUUGGGAACUGUGUGACUGGAGUCAUGGAGGGGGAGUUGGAAUUCCUGGUGUAGGGGUGAAAUCUGUAGAUAUCAGGAAGAACACCGGUGGCGAAGGCGAACUUCUAGCNGAUGACUGACGCUGAGGCGCGAAA